rnacentral:rRNA from 1 species
CUUUCCCUCUUUCUUUAGGCCUAACACAUGCCAGUCGAACGGCAGCACAGUAAGAGCUUGCUCUUACGGGUGGCGAGUGGCGGACGGGUGAGGAAUACAUCGGAAUCUACUUUUUCGUGGGGGAUAACGUAGGGAAACUUACGCUAAUACCGCAUACGACCUACGGGUGAAAGCAGGGGAUCUUCGGACCUUGCGCGAUUGAAUGAGCCGAUGUCGGAUUAGCUAGUUGGCGGGGUAAAGGCCCACCAAGGCGACGAUCCGUAGCUGGUCUGAGAGGAUGAUCAGCCACACUGGAACUGAGACACGGUCCAGACUCCUACGGGAGGCAGCAGUGGGGAAUAUUGGACAAUGGGCGCAAGCCUGAUCCAGCUAUACCGCGUGGGUGAAGAAGGCCUUCGGGUUGUAAAGCCCUUUUGUUGGGAAAGAAAAGCAGCAGGUUAAUACCCCGCUGUUCUGACGGUACCCAAAGAAUAAGCACCGGCUAACUUCGUG